UCAUCUCUGAGGCGAGAGAUGUUUGAUAUUGGACGACAGGCUCGCCGAGAAGCUCGUCUGGAUAAAAAGCAGGAAGCAGAGCGCAAGUGAAUAGAAGUUGUGACGGGCGAGCGGAAAAGAACAAGGACAAAACGAAGAAAACAUUCGCCUCAAGGGAAGCAGAGGAUGAAAAAGGAGGUAAAGAAGAAAGUGAAAAAGCAAAGGUCCUAGAGAAAACAGAUGAAGGGGAAAAAGAAAAAGAAAAAGAAGAACAACAGAAAAAGACUGAUAAAGAAGUGAAAAUAAGUAAG
rnacentral:lncRNA from 1 species